rnacentral:rRNA from 1 species
UGGGGAAUAUUGCACAAUGGGGGAAACCCUGAUGCAGCGACGCCGCGUGAAGGAAGAAGUAUCUCGGUAUGUAAACUUCUAUCAGCAGGGAAGAAAAUGACGGUACCUGACUAAGAAGCCCCGGCUAACUACGUGCCAGCAGCCGCGGUAAUACGUAGGGGGCAAGCGUUAUCCGGAUUUACUGGGGGAAAAGGGAGCGUAGACGGAGCAGCAAGUCUGAUGUGAAAGGCGGGGGCUCAACCCCCGGGCUGCAUUGGAAACUGUUGAUCUUGAGUACCGGAGAGGUAAGCGGAAUUCCUAGUGUAGCGGUGAAAUGCGUAGAUAUUAGGAGGAACACCAGUGGCGAAGGCGGCUUACUGGACGGUAACUGACGUUGAGGCUCGAAAGCGUGGGGAGCAAACA